rnacentral:misc_RNA from 1 species
GAUGAAGAACGUAGCGAAAUGCGAUAAGUAAUGUGAAUUGCAGAAUUCAGUGAAUCAUCGAAUCUUUGAACGCACAUUGCGCCCCUUGGUAUCCCGAGGGGCAUGCCUGUUCGAGCGUCAUUUCACCACUCAAGCCUGGCUUGGUGUUGGGCGACGUCCCCUUUGGGGACGCGCCUCGAAACGCUCGGCGGCGUGGCACCGGCUUUAAGCGUAGCAGAAUCUUUCGCUUUGGAAGUCGGGGCCCCGUCUGCCGGAAGACCUACUCGCAAGGUUGACCUCGGAUCAGGCAGGGAUACCCGCUGAACUUAAGCAUAUCAAUAAGCGGAGGA